UGUGUGUGCAUGGAUCGAGCUGGACAAACUGGAUACAGAGAUCAUCAAGCUCUUGGCCUAUCAGAGGAUCCAGCAGCUCUUUGCUCCCAAAGUGCCCAGCACCCACCCUCCCCCCACCACCAGCACUACCCCAAAAACCUCAGCACCCCACCCAAACAGUCAGAAAAAGGUGCAAGCCAGAGCGGUCUUUUACCCUCUGACAGGAAGAGGAGCAGCUGUCAGCAUGUGCUAUAGGACGUUACACAUAGGAUCAGGCUCUGACAAACUACGGUCACUGCAACUACGUAUCGGGGAAACAUGCCUGUAUUUUCUAUGAUGAGAAUACCAAGCAUUAUGAGCUUCUGAACUAUAGCGAGCAUGGCACCACAGUGGAUAAUGUCCU